rnacentral:tRNA from 1 species
GCUGAAAUAGCUCAAUUGCGAGAGCGUUAGACCUUAGAUCGAAAGGUCCCGGGUUCAAUCCCGGUUUUCGUC